UUAAAGGAAUUGACGGAAGGGCACCACCAGGAGUGGAGCCUGCGGCUUAAUUUGACUCAACACGGGGAACCUCACCAGGUCCGGACAUGAUUGCGAUGGACAGAUCGAUAGCUCUUUCUAGAUCUCAUGGAUGGUGGUGCAUGGCCGUUCUUAGUUCGUGGAGCGAUUUGUCUGGUUAAUUCCGAUAACGAGCGAGACUCUACCUUACUAACUAAGACGUACGAUAUACACGAGGUCUGUUGACGUAAUUGUGUGUUUGGCCACUUUGGCGUGCGUGUACGUGCGCGUGCCCUCUUUCGGGGGGGUUACGUUGUAUCGUAUCGCGUAUCGUUACAAGUGGUUACAACUGCAUUACGGCACGGUCCAUACUAUCGGCGCAAAUGUUUUCUUCUUAGAAGAACAAGCUAUAUAUAGUAGCACGAGAGAGAGCAAUAACAGGUCUGUGAUGCCCUUAGAUGUCCUGGGCCGCACGCGUGCGACAAUGAAAGAGUCAAUAGGUGUCCUAGGCCGAAAUGUCCGGGUAAUCCUAGCAAUCUCUUUCGUGUUGGGGAUUGGGGCUUGAAAGUGCUUCCCAUGAACGAGGAAUUCCCAGUAAGCGUAGUUGAUCAAUCUACGCUGAUUGAGUCCCUGCCCUUUGUACACACCGCCCGUCGCUACUACCGAUGAGCGGGCUAGCGAGAUCUUCGGACCGGCGCCUCGAAAGAGGUCGUUACCGGAAAGUCGAUCAAACUUGCCCGUUUAGAGGAAGUAAAA
rnacentral:rRNA from 1 species